CUGAUCAGAACUUUGCCCCAGUUGUUUGUAUAGUCUCAGUGCUUUUUCAUGUAUCAUUUGAAUUACUAAAACUCUCAUGUAUUUGGUUCUUGAUCCAAAUAUUAAAUGUCUUUUCCAUCCUUUCUAUAAUGGGAUCACAAGGCACAUAGGAAACUUUAGCACUAGUAACAGUCCCACUGGGUGCACAAUAGACCUACAUUGGUCGCAGUGCUUGGGCUGUACAGGGUCCUCCCUUUCUACUAACAAUCCCACUAGCGACACUAGCUUUAAGUGCUUCUUUUAUUAAUAGUUCUUAUAGUUAACUUGUUAACAUUCAUUAGUCUGGCAACUGGUGCAGCAUGCUCAUCACGCUCUGUCACCAUGUUAAGUUUUUUCCUCCAGUAACAACAUGCUUCUAGCCCUUUUUGGCUGGUUUAUCAACUGUUUUUCUAAAUGUUCAGAGCAUGGGAUGACGGAAAAGAAUAAUUUAUAAAAACAAA
rnacentral:lncRNA from 1 species